ensembl:lncRNA
CCCCUUCAGAUUCUCAAAUUGGACCUGCAUCCUGUAGACAAGAUGACAGAACCCAACCCCCCUCUGCACACACGCUCACCCCUCUCCUCUCUUUCCCCCCCAAAUAGAAGGCGUUUUAAUUUUGGCUGAUCAUUCAUAUAUUUUCACACCUGACAAGUUUUGUCUUUUGGUUUAUGCAGCGGUGCUUUUGGCACUACAUUAAUUAGCAAAUUAUCAGGCAAGAUGCUAAACAAAAUAUUCAGCUCGUAGCUGAGUUUAGCAGAUGCUAAAGUAUUCUGUGAAUUGUGAUUAACCCCAAGAAAACGUGCGUUGUUUGUAGCAUGUCCCGUUCUGUUCUCGAUCUUCACUUCAAGAUUGUGCAUUGAUGUUUUUCCUCAUAUUGGAGCAAUGUAAUUUGAUAAAAAAGAAAGAAAGCCGUGCUUGACUCCACAUUUUACCAAUACUUCCUCAUACAUCUCGGAUCGAAUUACAUUUCUUUCAUUAGAUCCACGAGGCUGCCUCUUUGUCCUUCAGCGUUACCUCCAGUGUUUGGGGUUCGCUCAUGACUCCCCUGCAUGUGGCUCACUCUAGGCCCGGUUGCCACCGGUUACCACCAUAGCGGGCGUGGACACCGACCCCCCCCCCACCACGCAGAGGAACCAGCUCACAGCAGGCCCACCCGGUCGUAACCCACCCGGAUUCUAACUCCUCUUUAACACCUCUCUCCCCUCCUCCCCCUCCUCCCCACACAGCUUCGCCUCUCCCCAGAGCGCGCCUUCCUUUGGCGCUCUAGCCAAUCAGAGCGCUCCGCCCUCGUUCGGGGGCCUGGCCCAGCAGGCGCCUGUGUUCGGGGCCCAGCAGGGGGGCUUCGGGGGCCUCGGCCAGCAGCAGCAGCAGCAGCAGCAGCAGCCCCAAGGAGGAUUCUCUGGAGGUAGUUUCACGUCCCCAGAUCAAUCGCCAGCAAAAACGUUUGCCAGUUGGAGGAGCUAGCAUUGGCUAACACUAUCUUCAGUCAAACCCAGAGUUCAUUCUGCCUCACAUCCAGAAAUCAGUUGAAUUAUGUAAUUUGUCAACACAAUUUUAUUUGUAAACAUGUUAUUUCAAACUUUAUUUUUAUCAAAAUAAAUGACUUUUGGUUGAAAAG